rnacentral:rRNA from 1 species
AUUUGUCCCCCAAAUAGGGACUUGUAUGAACGGCUAAAUGAGGUUCUAACUGUCUCAUUGGACUAAUCAAUGAAACUGAUCUUUCAGUACAAAAGCUGAAAUAAACUCAUAAGACGAGAAGACCCUGUGGAGCUUAAAAUAAACACUAUAACUACCUCCCACCUGUUUUUUUAGUUGGGGCGACUUUGGAACAAAACAAAACUUCCAUGCAGGGCCCCUAUCAAGGCCUACACGCCAAAACAACUUCCUAUUGACCCAGCAACCAUUGAGCUGAUCAACGAACCAAGUUACCCCAGGGAUAACAGCGCCAUCCUCUUCAAGAGUCCCUAUCGACAAGAGGGUUUACGACCUCGAUGUUGGAUCAGGACACCCCGGUGGUGCAACCGCUA